AGCGAACGCUGGCGGCAGGCCUAACACAUGCAAGUCGAACGAACCUUUCGGGGUUAGUGGCGGACGGGUGAGUAACACGUGGGAACGUGCCUUUAGGUUCGGAAUAACUCAGGGAAACUUGUGCUAAUACCGAAUGUGCCCUUCGGGGGAAAGAUUUAUCGCCUUUAGAGCGGCCCGCGUCUGAUUAGCUAGUUGGUUGAGGUAAUGGCUCACCAAGGCGACGAUCAGUAGCUGGUCUGAGAGGAUGAUCAGCCACAUUGGGACUGAGACACGGCCCAAACUCCUACGGGAGGCAGCAGUGGGGAAUCUUGCGCAAUGGGCGAAAGCCUGACGCAGCCAUGCUGCGUGAAUGAUGAAGGUCUUAGGAUGGUAAAAUUCUUUCACCGGGGACGAUAAUGACGGUACCCGGAGAAGAAGCCCCGGCUAACUUCGU
rnacentral:rRNA from 1 species